AUUGAACGCUGGCGGCAGGCCUAACACAUGCAAGUCGAGCGAGCGGCGGACGGGUGAGUAAUGUAUGGGGAACUGCCCGAUAGAGGGGGAUAACUACUGGAAACGGUAGCUAAUACCGCAUACUAUCGGAUGAACCCAGAUGGGAUUAGCUAGUAGGUGGGGUAAAGGCUCACCUAGGCGACGAUCUCUAGCUGGUCUGAGAGGAUGACCAGCCACACUGGAACUGAGAAACGGCCCAGACUCCUACGGGAGGCAGCAGUGGGGAAUAUUGCACAAUGGGCGCAAGCCGGAUGCAGCCAUGCCGCGUGUAUGAAGAAGGCCUUCGGGUUGUAAAGUACUUUCAGCGGGGAGGCGUUACUCGCAGAAGAAGCACCGGCUAACUCCGUGCCAGCCGCCGCGGUAAUAC
rnacentral:rRNA from 1 species